AGAAACCCCAAAAAAAAAAAAAAAAAAAAAAAAAAAAAAAAAAAAAAAAAAAAAACCCAAAAAAAAAAAAAAA